CUCUGCCACCUCUGUCGUCGCCACAUUCUCACCCUUCCACCUGGGGGCAAGCGCAGCCUGAGCAGGGCAGAGCCAGAGCCCCCGACCCCCGGGGACCCCCCCGCUGGGGGGACUGGGAGAAGCACCUGGACCCUGCCAGGCCAGGUUCGGGGC